CCAAACUUAAAUUCUGGAAAAUUAAACAUUUGAAAAUAAACACCCAAAUCUCUUCCGCUUAACCCACUACUCUAACUAGGGUUAAGCUCACCGGAUUUCCACCAAACUCCACCAUAACCUUAAUUCCUCAAUUCUGACAUUUUAGAAUAAAUACCAAGGAAAUCCAACGGCCGGAUUUUCAUUCUAACAAUCGGCACAAUCCUUAAUUUUUUAAAUCCAAAACUUAUCAAACUUCUCCAAACGUUCCAAACUUCAUACCAUUAGAAUCCCCUCAAUUAAACACAUUUAAAACCCUGAAAAGCCCCUUUACAGCGGCGGCGCCGCCGGCGGCUCCGCCGGCAGCGGCGGCCGGCGACCAACUCCGGCGACCUGCAAAUUCUACCAAAUUUUAACAGAAUCUUCCUCUCAAUCUCCUCUACAACUUUCAUAACUAGCACUUAGUCCAAUUCCGAGGCUAACUAGGGCAAUCGAACUAAAACAUCCUUAAAUCCCUAAAAACUUUCAAUUAUACAAACCACCCUAACGAAAUCGAAUUAGACCGAUUCUUUUGGAGGGAUUACUCACCUUGAUGAGGGCUACAAAAUGAGCCAAAAAUCACUGCCUAUGGUGGCCGGAGGACGGAGCUCCGGCGAAAGUUAUCCGGCGUGUCCGGCGGCUUUUCUCCUCCCCGGCGGCGUUACACGGCCGGUCACCGGCCCAGGGAGAGAGAGGAGGUGGCGGGGGUCCGUCCCGGGUUGGAGCGGCGGCCGGUGGCUGGCUGGACGGCAGCUAAUGGCGGCAAGGCUUUCCGACGGGAGGAGAGCUCGGGAAGAAGAACGGAAGAGAAAGAAGAGAAGAGGAAAAGAGAGAAGAAAAAGAAGAAACUGGGCUCAGGCUCUCCCUGCCCGGUCCAUCAAUUAUACCCAAACAAAAAUACCCACUACAAAUAUUUACCCCUUUUACUAACUCCACACUUUACCAAAAAAAAAAAUUCAUAACUUUACCAUGCUUACUCCGAUUUUAACGCUUAGCAUGUCUACGAACUCGUAACGACGUGCUCUACAACUUUCAUGAAGAAAGUUUUCUCACAAUAAUUUUCCUACAAAAAGUCAACCCUAUGGUCCUUAAGGGUAACUAGUUACUCAUCACGGUAAAAAUCCGAAGUAAUACCAACGGUAAAUAACCGUAAAAUAACUUAAGAACCGGGAUGUGUCAGGGUAU
rnacentral:lncRNA from 1 species